UUAAUUGGUGACUUGUAUGAAGGAUUGGAUGAAAUAUAAGCUGUCUCUUAGGUUAGAUAUAGAAUUUAAUUUUUUAAUUAAAAAGUUAAAAUAAAUUAAAAAGACGAGAAGACCCUAUAGAGUUUUAUAUGUAGGUUAUUUAAGAUUAUUUAGUAAAAUUAAAAUUAAUUUAUUUAUUAUGUUGGGGUGAUAAAAAAAUAUAUUUAACUUUUUUUUUAUGUAAAUACAUUUAUAAGUGAAUAGAUGAUCCAAUAUUAUUGAUUAUAAGAAUAAAUUACCUUAGGGAUAACAGCGUAAUUUUUUUUUUUAGUUCACAUAA
rnacentral:rRNA from 1 species